rnacentral:lncRNA from 1 species
GCUCGGCGAGGGGACACUAAGGGGACGCCGAUCUGUGGACUGCACACCUCCGUCAAGGCUUCCCCUCCACGGGCUCCAUUGCUAACCACCAGAGAUCUCAUCCAGCAAGCAGCUGCAGCCCUCACCCCACCUCAUUUCGAUUGGUAUGAAUUUUGAUAUGCAAUUUAAUUCAGUUUUGUAGUUUGUUAGUCGAUGUAGUGGUCAUAACGGAGCUGAGAUGCAUUUUCUGCAAUUUUUUAUCUAGAUGGAAAGACGUUGGGCGCAUGGUGUGCUGUUUACGCCUAAAUAUAUUUCCGGUGUCAAGUCUUUCAUGAAUUUCAUCAGAGAGAGGUAUAGUGAGGCUGAACAAAUUUUG